rnacentral:rRNA from 1 species
AGUGAACGCUGGCGGUAGGCCUAACACAUGCAAGUCGAACGGCAGCACAGUAAGAGCUUGCUCUUACGGGUGGCGAGUGGCGGACGGGUGAGGAAUACAUCGGAAUCUACUUUUUCGUGGGGGAUAACGUAGGGAAACUUACGCUAAUACCGCAUACGACCUACGGUUGAAAGCAGGGGAUCUUCGGACCUUGCGCGAUUGAAUGAGCCGAUGUCGGAUUAGCUAGUUGGCGGGGUAAAGGCCCACCAAGGCGACGAUCCGUAGCUGGUCUGAGAGGAUGAUCAGCCACACUGGAACUGAGACACGGGCCAGACUCCUACGGGAGGCAGCAGGGGGGAAUAUUGGACAAUGGGCGCAAGCCUGAUCCAGCCAUACCGCGUGGGGGAAGAAGGCCUUCGGGUUGUAAAGCCCGUUUUGUUGGGAAAGAAAAGCAGCAGGUUAAUACCCCGCUGUUCUGACGGUACCCAAAGAAUAAGCACCGGCUAACUUCGUG